UACGUAGGGUGCGAGCGUUGUCCGGAAUUAUUGGGCGUAAAGGGCUCGUAGGCGGUUUGUCGCGUCGGGAGUGAAAACACCGGGCUUAACUCGGUGCUUGCUUUCGAUACGGGCAGACUAGAGGCAUGCAGGGGAGAACGGAAUUCCUGGUGUAGCGGUGAAAUGCGCAGAUAUCAGGAGGAACACCGGUGGCGAAGGCGGUGGGCUGGGCCGGUACUGACGCUGAGGAGCGAAAGCGUGGGGAGCGAACAGG
rnacentral:rRNA from 1 species